rnacentral:tRNA from 1 species
GUCCCUUUCGUCUAGCGGUCAGGACAUAGCCUUUUCAAGGCUAGAACACGGGUUCGAUCCCCGUAUGGGAUA